rnacentral:rRNA from 1 species
UACGUAGGUGGCAGAGCGUUGUCCGGAUUUAUUGGGCGUAAAGCGAGCGCAGGCGGUUGAUUAAGUCUGAUGUGAAAGCCCCCGGCUCAACCGGGGAGGGUCAUUGGAAACUGGUCAACUUGAGUGCAGCAGAGGGGGGUGGAAUUCCAUGUGUAGCGGUGAAAUGCGUAGAUAUAUGGAGGAACACCAGUGGCGAAGGCGGCUCUCUGGUCUGUCACUGACGCUCAGGCUCGAAAGCGUGGGGAGCGAACAGG